rnacentral:rRNA from 1 species
UGGGGAAUAUUGGACAAUGGGGGCGACCCUGAUCCAGCAAUGCCGCGUGUGUGAAGAAGGUCUUCGGAUUGUAAAGCACUUUCGACGGGGACGAUGAUGACGGUACCCGUAGAAGAAGCCCCGGCUAACUUCGUGCCAGCAGCCGCGGUAAUACAAAGGGGGCUAGCGUUGCUCGGAAUGACUGGGCGUAAAGGGCGUGUAGGCGGUUUACACAGUCAGAUGUGAAAUCCCCGGGCUUAACCUGGGAGCUGCAUUUGAUACGUGUAGACUAGAGUGUGAGAGAGGGUUGUGGAAUUCCCAGUGUAGAGGUGAAAUUCGUAGAUAUUGGGAAGAACACCGGUGGCGAAGGCGGCAACCUGGCUCAUGACUGACGCUGAGGCGCGAAAGCGUGGGGGAGCA